rnacentral:rRNA from 2 species
UACGUAGGUGGCAAGCGUUGUCCGGAUUUAUUGGGCGUAAAGCGCGCGCAGGCGGUCGAUUAAGUCUGAUGUUAAAGCCCGGGGCUCAACCUCGGUUCGCAUUGGAAACUGGUCGACUUGAGUGCAGGAGAGGAAAGUGGUAUUCCACGUGUAGCGGUGAAAUGCGUAGAGAUGUGGAGGAACACCAGUGGCGAAGGCGACUUUCUGGCCUGUAACUGACGCUGAGGCGCGAAAGCGUGGGGAGCAAACAGG